rnacentral:lncRNA from 1 species
AUGUGGAAGGGGCUUCCCUCCAUCCUGUCCCUCACUCUGGGAGGAAGAGGAGCGUUGUGGAGCAGCAGCAGGGUGAGACAGUCACAGCUGGGCUGGUGCUUCCCAUAUGGAGGCACCAUAUGGCCACUCCACCUCGUCACAAGGUCGGCUCGCCAGGACCGCCUGCGCAUUUCCCAUCCGUGUGUUCACAGAGGGGAGAAGCCACAGGAGAGCUACAUACAGCAGGGGAUUCCCUCUAAAUUAGCUGCAGGAGAGAACUUGCUACGGAAUCGGAGGCAGAGGAGGAGGAGUGCUGAGGUCAAGCUUUUCAAGUCGGAAGGGUUAUGGCUCAGCAGCCAGUGUUUUGUCCACCACUUCCCUGGAGAAAACAAGCUGCAGUUGCAGAGAAACUCCUGAAACCCUCUUUGGAGGCUAAAAACCCAGCUGGCACUCUGCCCACCCCUCUUGCUCGCGUGGCACCGCAGGUGGCCGGGCUCCCAUCCCCUCUCCCGCACACAGCUCCUCAGCAUCGAGCAGCCCAGCUUAAAGCCCAGUCAGUCACUCCAUCACCACGGUGAGCUUUUUGUUUAUUUAUUUAUUUAUUUCACUAGGCAAUGAUUCAUGAGGCUGGUUCUGUUACCUGAUGCAUGGUAUUUGCAGAGGGGGUGGACUGGCUGUCAGAGCAGGGCUUUGCUCCUCGAUCUGCUUUCAGCUUAGCAUAAAAUAUAUCUGCUAA